UACGAAGGGGGCUAGCGUUGUUCGGAAUUACUGGGCGUAAAGCGCGUGUAGGCGGGUCUUUUAAGUCAGGGGUGAAAUGCCAGGGCUCAACCUUGGAACUGCCUUUGAUACUGGAGACCUUGAGUCCGGGAGAGGUGAGUGGAAUUGCGAGUGUAGAGGUGAAAUUCGUAGAUAUUGGGAAGAACACCGGUGGCGAAGGCGGCGACCUGGUCCGAAACUGACGCUGAGGCGCGAAAGCGUGGGGAGCAAACAGG
rnacentral:rRNA from 1 species